CAGUCUGAAGCCAGUAGAAACGUUCAUGUUUUAUGGCAUCACGGUGAAGGAAUGCAGCGUGGAAAGUGAAGUUAGUGAGCUGUGAACACGCCACAAGUUUGUAUCAGGACAGCCUAAUAAGAGUGGUUGGAAGCGACACAAGCGAAAAUGAGUUUAAUUCACUUAUUCACCAAUAGCGACGCCAUCUUGAAUCAUGAUGCAUUAUGGGUUAUCCAGGGUAAAAAUCCGAAUUCAAAAGCCUUUAAUGUCGUAUUGAGACACAAUACGAUAAUUUUUUUUCAUAAACACUUUCUUGAGGACAAUGAGGCAGUGUAAAUCAAUUUUAUGCGCACUUUGUUGAAAUUAUUUCCCUUUUUAGGCCUAACAAAGAUUUAAACUAUAGAUUUUAUCCUGAUUUUUUUUAUUUUUCCCAGCUUUUGUGUGUUUUCCUAGUUCUUCUAAAAAUUGUCUGUUAUUUUCAACUAUAAAAACGUGUGUUUUCGCCUACAUAUUUGAUUUACAGCCCUUCAAAAACGCUCAAUUACCCUGGAUCACUCAUAAUGAGCAGACGAGGCAACUAGUCGAGAAGUUGAUAGGUUUAUGAACGACCCAAACCAUCCCUGUCGCAGUGUUUUGCCAAAAUUAAUUAACAAUCGGUACUAUUUAAGGAACAUUGACCGGAAUCGCAAUAUAUCAUUCUUCUCAGGAACUGAAAGGCAUAAACAUUCUUUUUCAGGAAGAGCUUGUAAAUAUGUAUAAAUAAGUUUAACUUAUUGGAAGAACUUAUUAGUUUAAAGAACUUAUUAGUUUUAACUUCUUAGUUAGUUUUCUAAGUUAUCUUACAACAAUUUGUAAUAUAAAGACAUACCCACAGCAUAUAUACUUUCUUAAACAAGUAAUUGUAAGUCCAUUGUACUUUUUUAUCUUAAGAUGGAUGAAUAAAGC